rnacentral:rRNA from 1 species
AGUGAACGCUGGCGGUAGGCUUAACACAUGCAAGUCGAACGGCAGCACAGUAAGAGCUUGCUCUUACGGGUGGCGAGAGGCGGGAGGGUGAGGAAUACAUCGGAAUCUACUUUUUCGUGGGGGAUAACGUAGGGAAACUUACGCUAAUACCGCAUACGCCCCACGGAUGAAAGGGGGGGAUCUUCGCACCUUGCGGGAUUGAAUUAGCCGAUGUCGGACUUGCUGGUUGGCGGGGUAAAGGCCCAGCAAGGCGAGGAUCCGUAGCGGGUCUGAGAGGCUGAUCGCCCACACGGGAACUGAGACGCGGUCCAGGCUCCUACGGGAGGCAGCAGUGGGGAAUGGGGGGCAGUGGGCGGGAGCCUGAUCCAGCCAUACCGCGUGGGUGGAGAAGACGUUCGGGUUGUGAAGCCCUUUUGUUGGGAAAGAAAAGCAGCAGGUUAUUACGCCGCUGUUGUGACGGUACCCGAAGAAGAAGCACCGGCUAACUACGUG